UACGAAGGGGGCUAGCGUUGUUCGGAAUUACUGGGCGUAAAGCGCUCGUAGGCGGAUUUGUUAGUCAGGGGUGAAAUCCCGAGGCUCAACCUCGGAACUGCCUUUGAUACUGCAAAUCUCGAGUCCGGAAGAGGUGAGUGGAAUUCCUAGUGUAGAGGUGAAAUACGUAGAUAUUAGGAAGAACACCAGUGGCGAAGGCGGCUCACUGGUCCGGUACUGACGCUGAGGUGCGAAAGCGUGGGGAGCAAACAGG
rnacentral:rRNA from 1 species